rnacentral:rRNA from 1 species
AUUGAACGCUGGCGGCAGGCCUAACACAUGCAAGUCGAGCGGUAGCACAAGAGAGCUUGCUCUCUGGGUGACGAGCGGCGGACGGGUGAGUAAUGUCUGGGAAACUGCCUGAUGGAGGGGGAUAACUACUGGAAACGGUAGCUAAUACCGCAUAACGUCUUCGGACCAAAGUGGGGGACCUUCGGGCCGUCACGCCAUCAGAUGUGCCCAGAUGGGAUAGCUAGUAGGUGGGGUAAUGGCUCACCUAGGCGACGAUCCUAGCUGGUCUGAGAGGAUGACCAGCCACACUGGAACUGAGACACGGUCCAGACUCCUACGGAGGCAGCAGUGGGAAUAUUGCACAAUGGGCGCAAGCCUGAUGCAGCAUGCCG